rnacentral:misc_RNA from 1 species
GAUAAGAACGUAGCGAAAUGCGAUAAGUAAUGUGAAUUGCAGAAUUCAGUGAAUCAUCGAAUCUUUGAACGCACAUUGCGCCCGCCAGUAUUCUGGCGGGCAUGCCUGUUCGAGCGUCAUUACAACCCUCAGGCCCCCGGGCCUGGCGUUGGGGAUCGGCGGAAGCCCCCUGCGGGCACAACGCCGUCCCCCAAAUACAGUGGCGGUCCCGCCGCAGCUUCCAUUGCGUAGUAGCUAACACCUCGCAACUGGAGAGCGGCGCGGCCACGCCGUAAAACACCCAACUUCUGAAUGUUGACCUCGUAUCAGGUAGGAAUACCCGCUGAACUUAAGCAUAUCAAUAAGCGGAGGA